UACGGAGGGGGCUAGCGUUGUUCGGAAUUACUGGGCGUAAAGCGCACGUAGGCGGCUUUGUAAGUUAGAGGUGAAAGCCCGGGGCUCAACUCCGGAAUUGCCUUUAAGACUGCAUCGCUCGAAUUGUGGAGAGGUAAGUGGAAUUCCGAGUGUAGAGGUGAAAUUCGUAGAUAUUCGGAAGAACACCUGUGGCGAAGGCGACUUACUGGACACAUAUUGACGCUGAGGUGCGAAAGCGUGGGGAGCAAACAGG
rnacentral:rRNA from 1 species